UACGUAGGGUGCAAGCGUUGUCCGGAAUUAUUGGGCGUAAAGAGCUUGUAGGCGGUUUGUCGCGUCUGCUGUGAAAUUUCGGGGCUCAACCCCGAACUUGCAGUGGGUACGGGCAGACUAGAGUGUGGUAGGGGAGACUGGAAUUCCUGGUGUAGCGGUGAAAUGCGCAGAUAUCGGGAAGAACACCGGUGGCGAAGGCGGGUCUCUGGGCCGAUACUGACGCUGAGGAGCGAAAGCGUGGGGAGCGAACAGG
rnacentral:rRNA from 1 species